rnacentral:rRNA from 1 species
ACUCAAAUGAAUUGACGGGGGCUCACACAAGCGGUGGAGCAUGUUGCUUAAUUCGAGGCAACGCGAAGAACCUUACCUGGGUUUGACAUGCUUGGAUUAACUCCUGGAAACAGGAGCCACGCCCGCAAGGGUGGAACAAGCACAGGUGCUGCAUGGCUGUCGUCAGCUCGUGCUGUGAAGUGUCGGGUUAAGUCCCUUAACGAGCGCAACCCCUGUCGUUAGUUGCUCACGCGUAAUGGCGAGUACUCUAGCGAGACUGCCGGUGUCAAACCGGAGGAAGGUGGGGAUGACGUCAAGUCCUCAUGGCCCUUACAUCCAGGGAUGCAAACGUGCUACAAUGGCGCAUACAGAGCGACGCGAGGCCGCGAGGCGGAGCAAAUCGCAAAAAAUGCGCCCCAGUUCGGAUUGCAGGCUGCAACUCGCCUGCAUGAAGUCGGAAUCGCUAGUAAUCGGAGAUCAGCUACGCUCCGGUGAAUAUGUUCCUGAGCCUUGUACACACCGCCCGU